rnacentral:lncRNA from 1 species
CAUUAUGUCUCCCAGUCUUUUCAACCUGAUGCAGGAGUAUCCUGAUGACCGCACAUCUCGGACACUAACUCUUAUUGCCAAGGUCAUUCAGAACCUGGCCAACUUUGCCAAGUUUGGUAACAAAGAGGAAUACAUGGCAUUCAUGAAUGAUUUUUUAGAACAUGAAUGGGGUGGAAUGAAGCGGUUCCUUUUGGAGAUCUCAAAUCCUGACACCAUCUCAAACACCCCAGGCUUCGAUGGCUACAUUGAUUUGGGCAGAGAGCUGUCAGUUUUACAUUCCUUGCUUUGGGAAGUAGUUUCCCAACUGGAUAAGGCAACUGUGGCAAAAUUGGGACCUCUCCCUCGUGUUCUUGCUGAUAUUACCAAGUCUCUGACUAACCCCACGCCAAUACAGCAGCAGCUAAGACGCUUCGCUGAACACAGCUCCAGUCCAAAUGUCAGUGGAAGCCUCUCCUCUGGACUGCCUCAUGGACCUCCAGGACACCCACACUGCUCAGGUGGAGCAUGGAUCUGUCAUGCUUGAUGUGCCUAUGCGCCUUGCAGGAAGCCAGCUCUCUAUAACCCAGGUAGCUAGCAUCAAACAGCUUCGGGAAACCCAGAGCACUCCCCAGAGUGCACCUCAAGUGAGAAGACCCCUGCACCCAGCCCUGAACCAGCCAGGAAGUCUCCAGCCCUUGUCAUUCCAGAACCCUGUCUAUCACCUCAACAACCCAGUUCCAGCAAUGCCAAAGGCCUCUGCGGAUUCCAGUUUGGAGAACCUAAGCACUGCCAGUUCUCGAAGCCAAAGCAAUAGUGAAGACUUCAAACUCAGUGGGCCCAGUAAUAGCAGCAUGGAAGAUUUCACCAAAAGAAGCUCACACAGUGAGGACUUCUCCAGGCGGC